rnacentral:rRNA from 1 species
GACGAACGCUGGCGGCGUGCUUAACACAUGCAAGUCGAACGGAAAGGCCCUGCUUUUGUGGGGUGCUCGAGUGGCGAACGGGUGAGUAACACGUGAGUAACCUGCCCUUGACUUUGGGAUAACUUCAGGAAACUGGGGCUAAUACCGGAUAGGAGCUCCUGCUGCAUGGUGGGGGUUGGAAAGUUUCGGCGGUUGGGGAUGGACUCGCGGCUUAUCAGCUUGUUGGUUGGGUAGUGGCUUACCAAGGCUUUGACGGGUAGCCGGCCUGAGAGGGUGACCGGCCACCUUGGGACUGAGAUACGGCCCAGACUCCUACGGGAGGCAGCAGUGGGGAAUAUUGCACAAUGGGCGGAAGCCUGAUGCAGCAACGCCGCGUGCGGGAUGACGGCCUUCGGGUUGUAAACCGCUUUCGCCUGUGACGAAGCGUGAGUGACGGUAAUGGGUAAAGAAGCACCGGCUAACUACGUG